rnacentral:rRNA from 1 species
AUUUAAAAAAUUUGGCGGUAUUUUAGUCUUAUUAGAGGAAUCUGUUUAUUAAUUGAUAAUCCACGAUUAAUUUUACUUAUUUUAAUUAAUUCAUAUAUCGCUGUCAUGAAUAUAUUUAAAAAUUUAUUUUCUUUAAUUAUUUUAAUAAUUUAUGUUAAGUCAAGAUGUGGUUUAUAAAUAAGAAUAUAAUGGGUUACAUUAAAUUUUAUUUUUGGAUUUAAAAUGAAAAUUAAAAUGAAAUUGGAUUUAAUAGUAAGUUUAAUUAAUUUAUUAGUAUGAAUAAAGAUCUAAAUU